CCUACGGGUGGCAGCAGUGAGGAAUAUUGGUCAAUGGACGAGAGUCUGAACCAGCCAAGUCGCGUGAAGGAAGACUGCCCUAUGGGUUGUAAACCUCUUUUAUAAGGGAAUAAAACGAGGCAAGCGUGCCAUGAUGCAUGGACUUUAUGAAUGAGGAUCGGCUAACUCCGGGCCAGCAGCCGCGGUAAUACGGAGGAUCCGAGCGUUAUCCGGAUUUAUUGGGGGUAAAGGGAGCGUAGAUGGGUUGAUAAGUCAGUUGUGAAAGUUUGGGGCUCAACCGGAAGAGUGCAAUUGAUACUGGCAGUCUUGAGUACUGGAGGGGUAAGCGGAAUUCGUGGUGUAGCGGUGAAAUGCGUAGAUAUCACGAGGAACACCGGUGGCGAAGGCGGCUUACUGGACUGCGACUGACGUUGAGGCUCGAAAGUGUGGGGAUCGAACAGGAUUAGAUACCCUUGUAGUC
rnacentral:rRNA from 1 species